ACGAACGCUGGCGGCGUGCUUAACACAUGCAAGUCGUACGGUAAGGCCCUUUCGGGGGUACACGAGUGGCGAACGGGUGAGUAACACGUGAGUAACCUGCCCACAACUUUGGGAUAACGCUAGGAAACUGGUGCUAAUACUGGAUAUGUGCUCCUGCUGCAUGGUGGGGGUUGGAAAGCUCCGGCGGUUGUGGAUGGACUCGCGGCCUAUCAGCUUGUUGGUGGGGUAGUGGCCUACCAAGGCGGCGACGGGUAGCCGGCCUGAGAGGGUGACCGGCCACAGUGGGACUGAGAUACGGCCCAGACUCCUACGGGGGGCAGCAGGGGGGAAUAUUGCACAAUGGGCGCAAGCCUGAUGCAGCAACGCCGCGUGCGGGAUGACGGCCUUCGGGUUGUAAACCGCUUUCAGCAGGGACGAAGCUUUUUGUGACGGUACCUGCAGAAGAAGCACCGGCUAACUACGUG
rnacentral:rRNA from 1 species